rnacentral:rRNA from 2 species
GGUUAAGCGACUAAGCGUACACGGUGGAUGCCCUGGCAGUCAGAGGCGAUGAAGGACGUGCUAAUCUGCGAUAAGCGUCGGUGAGGUGAUAUGAACCGUUAUAACCGGCGAUUUCCGAAUGGGGAAACCCAGUGUGAUUCGUCACACUAUCAUUAACUGAAUCCAUAGGUUAAUGAGGCGAACCGGGGGAACUGAAACAUCUAAGUACCCCGAGGAAAAGAAAUCAACCGAGAUUCCCCCAGUAGCGGCGAGCGAACGGGGAGGAGCCCAGAGCCUGAAUCAGUGUGUGUGUUAGUGGAAGCGUCUGGAAAGGCGCGCGAUACAGGGUGACAGCCCCGUACACAAAAAUGCACAUAUUGUGAGCUCGAUGAGUAGGGCGGGACACGUGGUAUCCUGUCUGAAUAUGGGGGGACCAUCCUCCAAGGCUAAAUACUCCUGACUGACCGAUAGUGAACCAGUACCGUGAGGGAAAGGCGAAAAGAACCCCGGCGAGGGGAGUGAAAAAGAACCUGAAACCGUGUACGUACAAGCAGUGGGAGCCUCUUAAUGGGGUGACUGCGUACCUUUUGUAUAAUGGGUCAGCGACUUAUAUUCUGUAGCAAGGUUAACCGAAUAGGGGAGCCGAAGGGAAACCGAGUCUUAACUGGGCGUUAAGUUGCAGGGUAUAGACCCGAAACCCGGUGAUCUAGCCAUGGGCAGGUUGAAGGUUGGGUAACACUAACUGGAGGACCGAACCGACUAAUGUUGAAAAAUUAGCGGAUGACUUGUGGCUGGGGGUGAAAGGCCAAUCAAACCGGGAGAUAGCUGGUUCUCCCCGAAAGCUAUUUAGGUAGCGCCUCGUGAAUUCAUCUCCGGGGGUAGAGCACUGUUUCGGCAAGGGGGUCAUCCCGACUUACCAACCCGAUGCAAACUGCGAAUACCGGAGAAUGUUAUCACGGGAGACACACGGCGGGUGCUAACGUCCGUCGUGAAGAGGGAAACAACCCAGACCGCCAGCUAAGGUCCCAAAGUCAUGGUUAAGUGGGAAACGAUGUGGGAAGGCCCAGACAGCCAGGAUGUUGGCUUAGAAGCAGCCAUCAUUUAAAGAAAGCGUAAUAGCUCACUGGUCGAGUCGGCCUGCGCGGAAGAUGUAACGGGGCUAAACCAUGCACCGAAGCUGCGGCAGCGACACUAUGUGUUGUUGGGUAGGGGAGCGUUCUGUAAGCCUGUGAAGGUGUACUGUGAGGUAUGCUGGAGGUAUCAGAAGUGCGAAUGCUGACAUAAGUAACGAUAAAGCGGGUGAAAAGCCCGCUCGCCGGAAGACCAAGGGUUCCUGUCCAACGUUAAUCGGGGCAGGGUGAGUCGACCCCUAAGGCGAGGCCGAAAGGCGUAGUCGAUGGGAAACAGGUUAAUAUUCCUGUACUUGGUGUUACUGCGAAGGGGGGACGGAGAAGGCUAUGUUGGCCGGGCGACGGUUGUCCCGGUUUAAGCGUGUAGGCUGGUUUUCCAGGCAAAUCCGGAAAAUCAAGGCUGAGGCGUGAUGACGAGGCACUACGGUGCUGAAGCGACAAAUGCCCUGCUUCCAGGAAAAGCCUCUAAGCAUCAGGUAACAUCAAAUCGUACCCCAAACCGACACAGGUGGUCAGGUAGAGAAUACCAAGGCGCUUGAGAGAACUCGGGUGAAGGAACUAGGCAAAAUGGUGCCGUAACUUCGGGAGAAGGCACGCUGAUAUGUAGGUGAAGCGACUUGCUCGUGGAGCUGAAAUCAGUCGAAGAUACCAGCUGGCUGCAACUGUUUAUUAAAAACACAGCACUGUGCAAACACGAAAGUGGACGUAUACGGUGUGACGCCUGCCCGGUGCCGGAAGGUUAAUUGAUGGGGUUAGCGGUAACGCGAAGCUCUUGAUCGAAGCCCCGGUAAACGGCGGCCGUAACUAUAACGGUCCUAAGGUAGCGAAAUUCCUUGUCGGGUAAGUUCCGACCUGCACGAAUGGCGUAAUGAUGGCCAGGCUGUCUCCACCCGAGACUCAGUGAAAUUGAACUCGCUGUGAAGAUGCAGUGUACCCGCGGCAAGACGGAAAGACCCCGUGAACCUUUACUAUAGCUUGACACUGAACAUUGAGCCUUGAUGUGUAGGAUAGGUGGGAGGCUUUGAAGUGUGGACGCCAGUCUGCAUGGAGCCGACCUUGAAAUACCACCCUUUAAUGUUUGAUGUUCUAACGUGGGCCCCUUACCGGGGUUGCGGACAGUGUCUGGUGGGUAGUUUGACUGGGGCGGUCUCCUCCUAAAGAGUAACGGAGGAGCACGAAGGUUGGCUAAUCCUGGUCGGACAUCAGGAGGUUAGUGCAAUGGCAUAAGCCAGCUUGACUGCGAGCGUGACGGCGCGAGCAGGUGCGAAAGCAGGUCAUAGUGAUCCGGUGGUUCUGAAUGGAAGGGCCAUCGCUCAACGGAUAAAAGGUACUCCGGGGAUAACAGGCUGAUACCGCCCAAGAGUUCAUAUCGACGGCGGUGUUUGGCACCUCGAUGUCGGCUCAUCACAUCCUGGGGCUGAAGUAGGUCCCAAGGGUAUGGCUGUUCGCCAUUUAAAGUGGUACGCGAGCUGGGUUUAGAACGUCGUGAGACAGUUCGGUCCCUAUCUGCCGUGGGCGCUGGAGAACUGAGGGGGGCUGCUCCUAGUACGAGAGGACCGGAGUGGACGCAUCACUGGUGUUCGGGUUGUCAUGCCAAUGGCACUGCCCGGUAGCUAAAUGCGGAAGAGAUAAGUGCUGAAAGCAUCUAAGCACGAAACUUGCCCCGAGAUGAGUUCUCCCUGACUCCUUGAGAGUCCUGAAGGAACGUUGAAGACGACGACGUUGAUAGGCCGGGUGUGUAAGCGCAGCGAUGCGUUGAGCUAACCGGUACUAAUGAACCGUGAGGCUUAACCUU